rnacentral:rRNA from 1 species
AUGCACGCUGGCGGCGUGCUUCACCCCUGCCAGUCGAACGAUGAAGCCCAGCUUGCUGGGUGGAUUAGUGGCGAACGGGUGAGUAACACGUGAGUAACCUGCCCUUAACUCUGGGAUAAGCCUGGGAAACUGGGUCUAAUACCGGAUAGGAGCGCCUACCGCAUGGUGGGUGUUGGAAAGAUUUAUCGGUUUUGGAUGGACUCGCGGCCUAUCAGCUUGUUGGUGAGGUAAUGGCUCACCAAGGCGACGACGGGUAGCCGGCCUGAGAGGGUGACCGGCCACACUGGGACUGAGACACGGCCCAGACUCCUACGGGAGGCAGCAGUGGGGAAUAUUGCACAAUGGGCGAAAGCCUGAUGCAGCGACGCCGCGUGAGGGAUGACGGCCUUCGGGUUGUAAACCUCUUUCAGUAGGGAAGAAGCGAAAGUGACGGUACCUGCAGAAGAAGCACCGGCUAACUACGUG